GUCGAACGGCAGCGAGGAGAAGCUUGCUUCUCUGUCGGCGAGUGGCGAACGGGUGAGUAUAGCAUCGGAACGUGCCAAGUAGUGGGGGAUAACCAAACGAAAGUUUGGCUAAUACCGCGUAAGCUCCAAGGAGGAAAGUAGGGGACCUAAAUAAGGCCUUACGCUAUUUGAUCGGCCGAUGUCGGAUUAGCUAGUUGGUGGGGUAAUGGCUCACCAAGGCAAUGAUCCGUAGCGGGUCUGAGAGGACGAUCCGCCACACUGGGACUGAGACACGGCCCAGACUCCUACGGGAGGCAGCAGUGGGGAAUUUUGGACAAUGGGGGAAACCCUGAUCCGGCCAUGCCGCGUGUAUGAAGAAGGCCUUAGGGUUGUAAAGUACUUUUGUUAGGGAAGAAAAGCUAGUUUUUAAUAAAAAUUAGUGGUGACGGUGCCUAAAGAAUAAGCACCGGCUAACUACGUGCCAGCAGCCGCGGUAAUACGUAGGGUGCAAGCGUUAAUCGGAAUUAUUGGGCGUAAAGCGAGUGCAGACGGUUACUUAAGCCAGAUGUGAAAUCCCCAAGCUUAACUUGGGACGUGCAUUUGGAACUGGGUGACUAGAGUGUGUCAGAGGGAGGUAGAAUUCCACAUGUAGCGGUGGAAUGCGUAGAGAUGUGGAGGAAUACCGAUGGCGAAGGCAGCCUCCUGGGAUAACACUGACGUUGAGGCUCGAAAGCGUGGGGAGCAAACAGGA
rnacentral:rRNA from 1 species